UCUUACGGCCAUGCCACCCUGAACAAGCCCAAUGUCUGAUCUCGGAAGCUAAGCAGGGUCAGGCCUGGUUAGUACUUGGAUGGGAGACCACCUAGGAAGACCAGGUGCUGUAGUCA
rnacentral:rRNA from 1 species